rnacentral:lncRNA from 1 species
GCGGAUUGGAUAUUAAGACAGUUUGAUUGCAUGCAACCCAUCCUAGUUCCUCCACAUAUAUUAAGAGAAAUACACGGGAUUGACAAAAAACAGAGGGAUCACAUAAAUUGGGCGAACCAACAUGUUUUGUAUAUUUUUCUGUGGAACGCCCGACAUGAGAGGUGGUCUCCCUUAUUUGUCUCUGACACGGGGUUAAUUCUUUCGCGCGAGUAUGCAAAAUGGUACUUCUUUAAUGGGUUGCCUUACAUUUACCAGGGUCAAUACAUGUUGAUCCCGGAACACUCGCAAUCAGAAUCUACUCAAUAACGUAGGACCAUAACAUAAUCGCAUCAUAACCAAGUUCCACCAUUCAGGAACAUGGAUUCUAUCUCCAACACCUAUCUCGAGCCCGACUAUGAAGCAUCCGAGGAAAUCUCGCAUACCCCAUCUAAAUUCUCCUUCGUUCGAGGAGAUAUUUGGCGAAGACCCCAAGCCUCAACAUUCGGCACACUCCAGAUCGUCCUCAUACCACCUGGAGCUCAAUCGGCAAUCACUUACACCUAACAUUGAUGAUAUUUUUAGCUCGACACCUCCAGUAUCGCAAUACCCUAGCACCCUUGAUGAUGGGGUAUACGAUUAUACAACAUUCUUCAGUACACUGAAAAGGACAUCGGAGGUCAGCCUGAGCAACUAUCAAACACAUCAACAAGCUGUAUGUCCUCACUGAUAAAGGCACCCUGAACAUUAUACGCCAAUGCUGGGGACGUCGCCAGGAUCUACAUAAUUUUGAUUUUUUUAAUUUUGAUUUUUUUAAUUAUUUAUUCUGUAAUUUUUCUACAAACACAAAAAAUUUGGAAUUUUUAUUGUAAUUAUCAAGUUGGCAUAGUACAAAAUAUUAAGUAAAAAAUAUAUAAAUCGAACAAAUAAUAUAAGAAAAUACGAAC